ensembl:snoRNA
AUUGAGAUCUCUCCCAAUGGGCUUUUUCUAUUAGCCUACAUUGUUGGAAACAUCUCACAGAGUAAAUAUGUGGAUAUUUUUAUUCACAGAAUUAUGUGAGUAAAUUAUGUGUUACAUCUGUGGGAAAUAACUAUAAGACAGAG